AUGUCAUAAAAGUUUCCAAACAAUCCCUUGGUCUUGUAUCCUCCAAAUUUGUUUACUGAAUAUAGGGAUGACAUGUAAAUUAAAUAUGCAAAUUGAUUUAAAAAAAUGUAGGGGGGAAAAUAAGAAAAAAUAUAUAUAACAAAAAAAGAAUUUUACUGCAGCUGAAAAAGAA
rnacentral:sRNA from 1 species